UAAAGUGUUAAAGUUCCUUAACUCCAUUCAGCCCUGCGCCAGGAUCGUUAGCUAUUGAUCUGGGCCCCUCCGACACUUAACUCCAGCCAGCAUAUUGGCAAUUCAAUUAGCACCAGUCAAUGCUGCGUGUUCCUGGCUCCUGCUGCCCAUGCCCUCGCCCUUGCCCACCACUGGCUCUUCAAAGCCCGACGCCCAUGCCCACCUCUGGCAGCCCCUUGCAGGCUCUUCUCCUGCACCCUCUGGAUCAAUGGUGCCUGGCUGGCUGUUCCCGGCCUCUGCUGGUACAACCUUAGCUGCCUAAGGGUGACUCUAAGCCCAGCCUUAGGGCUGAAGACCUCCUAGGAGACAGGAAGAGGCUGGGAAGCUUGUCAGGGGCCUCUUCCCACCCCUGCUGCCUUUGGAUCAUGCCCACAGCUCCUAUCUCCUUCCAAGAAGCCCUGGCCCAGCAAAACACAGGUUCUCUCUCCUUCCUGCCCAGCUCCAGCCUGCCACCCUCCAGCAUUACUAGGACAUUAGUCACUACUCAGAAUCACUGGGUGGUUCCUCUUCACCCUCUUCCUGUUCUAUGUCAUCCACCCAGCAAAGCCCCUGCCCUUCUUUGCCCCUCCACUCAAGGUAGCCUCCACGGUGCCUGACACGCUCAUUCUGUCUUACCCCUUCACAGCUUCUUCCCAUUUAGUAUAGGUGGCCCACAGGCCCGCUUCUCCUUCCUUGUAUCUCUAACUCCGCAGCCCCCAUGCUCCCCACAUCCUGCUGCCCUCCCUGCCCAGCUCUUAUUCUCCAGUCCCCUCUUCCUCACCGGGAGUCCGGAGCUGCCCGUGGCUGAAGCUCAGGAUGCUCUGAAGAGCUGCGAGUCCUUCCUCAGCGGUUGGGCCAUUCUGUAGCAGCUGCAGAUGCCUCUGGGCCUGGACAUCACGGUGGGCAGGUGUGCGCAGGUGUUGCAGCACAGCCAAGCGGGAGGGUGUCUCCCAUGCACACAACAGGCAGUGGUAUAGCCCCAGCUCUGCCCCUGCCUCUGCUCCCUCCAUGUCCAGCAGAAACUAGAACCAUGGGAAGAGGCUGGCUCAGGCCCAGAAGGGACAUGCCAGAUCUCAGGGGACUUUUUUUUUUUUUUUUCUCAAGAGAGUCUUGCCCUGUUGCCCAGGCUGGAGUGCAGUGGCACAAUCUCUACUCACUGCAGCCUCUACCUCCUGGGUUCAGUGAUUCUCAUGCCUCAGCCUCCCAAGUAGCUGGGAUUACAGGCAUGUGCACCACACCCGGCUAAUUUUUGUAUUUUUAGUAGAGAUGGGGUUUCACCAUGUUGGCCAGGCUGGUCUCGAACUCCUGACUUCAAGUGAUCCUCCCGCAUCAGCCUCCCAAAGUGCCGGGACUACAGGAGUGAGCCACCGCACCUAGCCUCAGGGGACUUCUUUGCCUCCCCUAAGGGAGACUGACUAGCAGCAGCCCCCUCCCCACCCCUCGCUUCCUCCUCCUGAAACCCCCCCCUUUCCCUCCUAUGGCCACCUAAGUAUUAUUGCUUGCUCUCCCCAACCCUUUCUCUUUCUCCUACCACUCGUGGACUCCCAGCAUGCAAAUGGAGUCUGGUUCCAUCCUCUUGAACCUCUGGUGACAUGACAAACUGAGCUGACACCACCCCUCCCUUCAGGGCCAAACACCAGAAGAGCUGAAUAAAGUCUGUUUCACUUG
rnacentral:antisense_RNA from 1 species